AUACGGAGGAUCCGAGCGUUAUCCGGAUUUAUUGGGUUUAAAGGGUGCGCAGGCGGCCAUUUAAGUCAGCGGUUAAAUCGUGGGGCUCAACCCCAUUCUGCCGUUGAUACUGGGUGGCUUGAUUGCGGUCGAGGUUGGCGGAAUUCGUUGUGUAGCGGUGAAAUGCAUAGAUAUGACGAAGAACACCGAUUGCGUAGGCAGCUGACCAGAUCGCAAAUGACGCUCAUGCACGAAAGUGCGGGGAUCGAACAGGAUUAGAUACCCUGGUAGUCCGCACAGUAAACGAUGAAUACUUGUUUUCGGCGAUAUAAUGUCGGAGGCAAAGCGAAAGCGAUAAGUAUUCCACCUGGGGAGUACGCCGGCAACGGUGAAACUCAAAUGAAUUGACGGGGG
rnacentral:rRNA from 1 species